GAUGAACGCUGGCGGCGUGCCUAAUACAUGCAAGUCGAACGGGGACUAGCAAUACUCUUAGUGGCGAACGGGUGAGUAACGCGUUGGUACCUGCCCCGAAGCGGGGGAUAACGGACCGAAAGGUCCGCUAAUACCCCAUGUGCUCGGUAACGAGUAAAGGUGAAAACCACUUUGGGAGGGGCCUGCGUCCCAUCAGCUAGUUGGUAAGGUAACGGCUUACCAAGGCGAUGACGGGUAGGGGACCUGAGAGGGUGGCCCCCCACAAUGGAACUGAAACACGGUCCAUACACCUACGGGUGGCAGCAGUAGGGAAUAUUGGUAAUGGGCGCAAGCCUGAACCAGCAACGCCGCGUGUGCGAUGACGGCCUUCGGGUUGUAAAGCACUUUUGACUGGGACGAGGAAGGACGGUACCGGUCGAAUCAGCCUCGGCUAACUACGUG
rnacentral:rRNA from 1 species